rnacentral:rRNA from 1 species
GGGGCCAGUAACCCAGAGAGGGUGUCAGGCCCGUAGGACUGAGCCGCGACGGCGUAUUGGGUCUCUCCUUAGAGUCGGGUUGCUUGAGAGUGCAGCCCUAAGUGGGAGGUAAACUCCUUCUAAGGCUAAAUACGGCCACGAGACCGAUAGCGAACAAGUACCGCGAGGGAAAGUUGAAAAGAACUUUGAAGAGAGAGUUCAAUAGUGCGUGAAACCGUUCAGGGGGUUAAACGGGUGGGCCCUCGAAGGUCGAACGCUCCCUACUCGCGUCUCCGCGCGUCGGUCCGUGCCGCUUUUUCCGAUCUCGCUACGGGACGGAGCGGUGCGGUAACUUGGCGAGCGGGGGCGUUUAGUUAGGGGGCCAGUAGGACUCCGCAACCGUCUGGAGAGUCGUCAGAAGGGCUCUGGUAGAAAGCCUCCUCGCGGGGUGGACUCCGGGGUUCCGGGCGAUCUCUCCGGCCGUGAACCGGCAUUCCACUCGGCUGGCGUCCGUGACGAGCCUCCCUUCACGGGGGGGUUGUCGGUUGCGGGCGUCACCGGGGGACGCUAGCGGAGAGUAGAGUCGGGUCCCACCCGACCCGUCUUGAAACACGGACCAAGGAGUCUAACAUGUGCGCGAGUCGUCGGGAU